GAAAAAGCAGAACUGCUCUCUCUCGGUGUACCAUCAUUCAGAACUCUGAUCAUGCAUCAGACUGUUUUGCUGUAUUGGAACGUCCUUGUUUACCGGAGCACAUCUCCUCAGACACACUGGAAGUCUUUGUUCAGACAGCAGAUUGCCUCAUCAUUCAUUGAUAAUGCUGCAAUUACUGAAAAACUUACCAUGUAGAGAGGCCAAGAUUCAGAAGAACCGGUCGUUAUCUACCGAUUUUCAGCCUCUCACAAACAGAAGGGUUGAACAGCUGGUGGUGUGGCGGUUGGUGCUCACUGGCAGGACUGCGUGCCUGAGAUGACUGAAUCAAGGAUAUUUGCUCUCACUGACAUCAUACAGAGCCAAAUGCAGAAAAAUCAAUCCGACACUCAUUUUUUAGUGUCGUCUGAAGAGUGAGAUUACUUAAAACUUUGUUCUUGUAUAAUACAAGCAUCCACCGCUGGACAGAAAAAUAAUCAAAUGUAUGGCAAAACAAACUGGCACUUACAUAGCACCUUUGUACUCAAUUCGAGUACUCAAAGGACUUUCUACUACACUGCAAUAAAAAACAAAAUGCAUUA